rnacentral:rRNA from 1 species
CACGUAGGGUGCGAGCGUUGUCCGGAAUCAUUGGGCGUAAAGAGCUCGUAGGCGGUCCGUCACGUCGGAUGUGAAAUUCCAGGGCUCAACCCUGGACCUGCAUUCGAUACGGGCGGACUAGAGUUCGGUAGGGGAGACUGGAAUUCCUGGUGUAGCGGUGAAAUGCGCAGAUAUCAGGAGGAACACCGGUGGCGAAGGCGGGUCUCUGGGCCGAUACUGACGCUGAGGAGCGAAAGCGUGGGGAGCAAACAGG